rnacentral:rRNA from 1 species
AUUGAACGCUGGCGGCAGGCCUAACACAUGCAAGUCGAGCGGAUGAAGGGAGCUUGCUCCUGGAUUCAGCGGCGGACGGGUGAGUAAUGCCUAGGAAUCUGCCUGGUAGUGGGGGAUAACGUCCGGAAACGGGCGCUAAUACCGCAUACGUCCUGAGGGAGAAAGUGGGGGAUCUUCGGACCUCACGCUAUCAGAUGAGCCUAGGUCGGAUUAGCUAGUUGGUGGGGUAAAGGCCUACCAAGGCGACUAUCCGUAACUGGUCUGAGAGGAUGAUCAGUCACACUGGAACUGAGACACGGUCCAGACUCCUACGGGAGGCAGCAGUGGGGAAUAUUGGACAAUGGGCGAAAGCCUGAUCCAGCCAUGCCGCGUGUGUGAAGAAGGUCUUCGGAUUGUAAAGCACUUUAAGUUGGGAGGAAGGGCAGUAAGUUAAUACCUUGCUGUUUUGACGUUACCAACAGAAUAAGCACCGGCUAACUUCGUG